rnacentral:rRNA from 1 species
GACGAACGCUGGCGGCGUGCUUAACACAUGCAAGUCGAACGGAAAGGCCCUGCUUUUGUGGGGUGCUCGAGUGGCGAACGGGUGAGUAACACGUGAGUAACCUGCCCUUGACUUUGGGAUAACUUCAGGAAACUGGGGCUAAUACCGGAUAGGAGCUCCUGCUGCAUGGUGGGGGUUGGAAAGUUUCGGCGGUUGAGGAUGGACUCGCGGCUUAUCAGCUUGUUGGUGGGGUAGUGGCUUACCAAGGCUUUGACGGGUAGCCGGCCUGAGAGGGUGACCGGCCACAUUGGGACUGAGAUACGGCACAGACUCCUACGGGAGGCAGCAGUGGGGAAUAUUGCACAAUGGGCGGAAGCCUGAUGCAGCAACGCCGCGUGCGGGAUGACGGCCUUCGGGUUGUAAACCGCUUUCGCCUGUGACGAAGCGUGAGUGACGGUAAUGGGUAAAGAAGCACCGGCUAACUACGUG